AGUCGAGCGGGAUUGGUAGCAAUACCAUGAGAGCGGCGCACGGGUGAGUAACGCGUACACGACCUACCUCUGACAGGGGGAUAGCCCUGGGAAACUGGGAUUAAUACCGCAUAUUAUUCUGAUUAAUAAAGGAUUGGAAUGAAAGUUCAGGCGGUCAGAGAUGGGUGUGCGUCUGAUUAGCUAGUUGGUGGGGUAACGGCCUACCAAGGCGAUGAUCAGUAGGGGGCGUGAGAGCGUGGUCCCCCACACGGGUACUGAGACACGGACCCGACUCCUACGGGAGGCAGCAGUAAGGAAUAUUGGUCAAUGGGCGAAAGCCUGAACCAGCCAUCCAGCGUGCAGGAAGAAGGCCCUAUGGGUUGUAAACUGCUUUUAUCAGGGAAGAAACCUCUGGAUUCACUCCGGAGCUGACGGUACCUGAAAAAUAAGCACCGGCUAACUCCGUGCCAGCAGCCGCGGUAAUACGGAGGGUGCGAGCGUUAUCCGGAAUUACUGGGUUUAAAGGGUGCGUAGGCGGCUAUGUAAGUCAGGAGUGAAAGUUUGCGGCUCAACCGUAAAAUUGCUUUUGAUACUGCAUGGCUGGAAUUAGGAUGAGGUCAGCGGAAUGUGGCAUGUAGCGGUGAAAUGCAUAGAUAUGCCAUAGAACACCAAUUGCGAAGGCAGCUGGCUAGACCUGGAUUGACGCUGAGGCACGAAAGCGUGGGGAGCGAACAGGAUUAGAUACCCUGGUAGUCCACGCCCUAAACGAUGCUUACUCGACGUAUGAAGCUAGUCUUUGUGCGUC
rnacentral:rRNA from 1 species